GUCUAUGGCCAUACCACCCUGAACAAGCCUAAUUCUGUCUGAUCUCGGAAGCUAAGCAGGGUUGAGCCUAGUUAGUACUUGGAUGGGAGAUGACCUAGGAAGACUGGUGCUGUAGGUA
rnacentral:rRNA from 1 species